AACCAGGCCACCAUUCCUCUCCG
rnacentral:miRNA from 1 species